rnacentral:lncRNA from 10 species
GCUUUUCCGGUCGCCGCGGUCCUCUGCGCGGGAUGUGGCUCUGAGCUUCGGGGUAGUCCGCGAGGCUGGGUUCCGUGCUGAGGGGCGUCGCGUCUGGCCGUGCGCUGCGGGAGCGCGCGGGCCUGGCCCGCUGUCCUGGCCGCUGCGAGGCGCUCAGCUUCUUUCUGAGUGUUCCGCCGGGUUCGACAGGGUCGAGGUCGCCGGCGCGAGGCUCCCGGAUAGCUGAGGGGCGCGAGGGCGCCUCCAGUCUCCCACCUGCCCUCCCGCGCCGCGGACUAGGCUGCCAGUCUACCCCACCGGGACGUCUGCCCCCGCAUGCAGGAGGGGGUGUGUCGGCCCAACGGGGUCUCAGGACCUGUCCCUGCUCCUCCAAAGCCCACGUCGCCUGCGGCGCCCCUCGGGUCUGCGCCGCGUUCUCCUUUAGCCUCCCGGGCCUCUCCGCUGCCCCUCGCCCCCAGGCACCAGCCACACCUGCUUCCUUCUGUUCCCGCCCGUGGCCUCUGACACGCCGUGCCCUGGACCCGAAAUGCCCGCCCCACUCCUGGAGCCUCCGGUGUGUGAGAGGCACCUUUCCUUGGGGUCAGGGGCCCGGACUCUGAAGCCGGCCUGGCUUUGCCUGUGGGCCCCGAUCCUCCCAGCUCGAGUCCCUCGCCCCAGCCGCCGCGGGCCUUCACCUGUGCUUUGGGGACGACAGGAUGGCCACCCUCCUUCCCCCAAAGAUUUGAGGGUUUUGCUCCACGCGGGAGAAGGUCUGCCUGUGCCACCAGCCGGCAGCCUUUCACAUGCUGUUGCGUUACGGGGCCCUCUGUGACCUUUCCCUAGGCCGAGGGGUGCUUCGUCUCUGUUCCUGAGAGACCAGAAUUUAUUCUUGGUUUGUCAAGCCACAUCUGUAGGAAUGUUGCCCAGUUGCAGCAGGCUGGGGUCUGGGACUUGCUCCUUUGGCGAAUUGAGAAGUAAGGAUAUAGAAGGCAUUUUAGCACUAAUGGAAACCAGAACCACUCUUAGACCUGGGCAAGAGGGGCCCCAGAAAUUAGCAAGCGAUUAGCAAGCAGCUGGAUUUCGAUGACCUCCACUGUACUUAGAGCAACGGCAUUCGAUUCGUUGGAUCAUUUCAAAGAUGACAUACUGGGUUGUUUGUUUGUUUCUGGCGGUGUCUAAAGAUGGAACAUCUUGAAGCAUUUUGAAUUUGACCUGUGGCUACCCUCAGAUACAAUGAUGGUAACCCCAUGAGUGCUGUUAAAGCAAUUUGACUUAUUGUAGACAGGUUAACACAUGAGAUGCGUUAAAAGAGUUAAGUGAAAUAAUAGGCAGCAUUCAAAGAGCAAAUCGUGGUCUUUGGCAGAAAAUAGAGUUAAUUUUGUAUUUGAGCUGUCCAGUUAUUACAAUUAGAAAACGUUUUAAAGAAUCCAAAAGGAUUUAAAAUAUUGCAUAAAGUUUUAGGAGAAAAUGGUUUCCAAAAAGCAACUGCAUAUGAAAUAAGCACUAAAAUGACAUUAAAGUACAAUGUAAGAAAAUCGGAACUAGAAGCAUUUGCUGGAGUCUGAAGAAAAAGAUUUAUGGAUGAAUGAUUCUGAAACUAACUUCUAUAGAGACAAUUUUCCGGCGAUGGUAGAUCAAGGUGUAGAUUGUACUGAAGAGAGAGAUUCAAACAAAUUUGUUCUUGUCUAUUUAGAUUAAAGAACAUAAUGUUACAAAGAAGAGAGCUAAGCAACAUUGCUAAACAACAGGACAAUCUCUGGAGCCUAUUGAAUGUUUUAGCAACAACACUAGCAAAAAUAGAGAACCACAUGUGGUUUUUCCGGAGAUUACUACUCACAUCUAUAAAGAAAAAGUCUUUUCUAGUCAGACGCUCAUCUGGAUGGGUAACGU